rnacentral:sRNA from 1 species
UCUUUUCUCUUCUCUUAA